rnacentral:lncRNA from 1 species
CAUGCCCCAGCCGAUCUGCGGUUGCCUGUCCAGUUUGUCAAAUGGAGCUCAGGACCUGGUGGACAUCUGUUUCCAUUGGUGUUGGGCUGUCAAUCUGCAAGGCAGAGAAGAAGGAUGAAAGGAGCAGCCUCCUGCCCUGCUUCCCUGCUCUGCCAUCCCCUGCACAGCCCCGCUCACCGGGUUGCUGGUCUGCCAGCCAUGCCCGUGGCUGUGUGGGGCUGCCUGUUUCCCCAAGCCUGGGUGGAAAGCGGCAUGGCAGUCAGCAGGCCUGGUGCCAGCACCUAGAGAGGAGCCCGUGCUCAGCUAAGAGGUAUCAAUCGUUGGGGUGAGGGCAGAAUUUCCUGGGGAACAGCCAGGAGUUCUGUGGUCCCAGGAAGGAUACCGUUUCUGGCUGACUUAUCUGUCUGGUAUGGCAUGGAGACCGGUUACAGAGCUGAGGACAGGCGUGUGUCCAGCUCUGGUUCCAUCUUGGUGUGGACGCCCAUCUGCAAGGCAGAGGGGAAGGACGAAAGGAGCAGCAUCCUGCCCUGCUUCCCUGCUCUGCCCUCCCCUGCACAGCCCCGCUCACCGGGUUCCUGGUCUGAAAAUGGUUUCCUUGGCCAUUUUGGGCUCACUGUGUCAGCAGCGCCGUGUUGGCAUGGCCAUGCAGUCAUGCGGUGUGGUGCCGGCACCUGCAGUGGGGUCGAGAUUCAGCAAAGCAGAGUUAAAGGUUUGGGUUAAUGCAGGAGGAUGCUAUGGAGCUUCCAUAGGCCUGGAGGUGCAAGACAGGCUACAGUUUGGGAGUGACUUAUCUUUUUCGUAGGACGUGAACACCAGUUUGUCAAAUGGAGCUCAGGCCCUGGUGGUCAUCUGUUUCCGUUGGUGUUGGGCUGUCCAUUUGCAAGGCAGAUGAGAGGCACGAGAGGAGCAGCCUCCUGCUCUGCUUCCCCGUGCUGCCCUCCCGUGCACAGCCCUGCUCACCAGGUUGCUGGUCUGCCAGCCAUGCCCGUGGCUGUGUGGGGCUGCCUCUUUCCCCAAGCCUGGGUGGUAAGCGACUCGGCAAUCAGCAGGCCUGGUGCCAGCACCUAGUGUGGGGCCUGUGCUCAGCUAAGGGGUAUCAAUCGUUGGGGUGAGGGCAGAAUUUCUUGGGGAGCAUCCAGGGGUUCUUUGGGUACAGGAAAAAUACCGUUUGUG